rnacentral:rRNA from 1 species
AGUGAACGCUGGCGGUAGGCCUAACACAUGCAAGUCGAACGGCAGCACAGUAAGAGCUUGCUCUUACGGGUGGCGAGUGGCGGACGGGUGAGGAAUACAUCGGAAUCUACUUUUUCGUGGGGGAUAACGUAGGUAAACUUACGCUAAUACCGCAUACGACCUACGGGUGAAAGCAUGGGAUCUUCGGACCUUGCGCGAUUGAAUGAGCCGAUGUCGGAUUAGCUAGUUGGCGGGGUAAAGGCCCACCAAUGCGACGAUCCGUAGCUGGUCUGAGAGGAUGAUCAGCCACACUGGAACUGAGACACGGUCCAGACUACUACGGGAGGCAGCAGUGGGGAAUAUUGGACAAUGGGCGCAAGCAUGAUACAGCCAUACCGCGUGGGUGAAGAAGGCCUUCGGGUUGUAAAGCCCUUUUGUUGGGAAAGAAAAGCAGCAGGUUAAUACCCCGCUGUUCUGACGGUACCCAAAGAAUAAGCACCGGCUAACUUCGUG